rnacentral:lncRNA from 1 species
GCUCAGCUAUACAAACAUUUCCCCACUUCCUUUUACUUUGAAUUCUCCAGUCCCUAAGCUAAUAGUAUCAAAGUAGUCAGGUCCUAGAGAAGAUGCAAUCCAUAUAUUUCGGAAGUUUCAGCAGCCUAGCGUGUCCAAUUCCUGGCAAAACAAAGGUUCAGAAAAUCUCAUCCGCCGCGCACGAUCAAUAUAUCCCUAGCCCAAUAACGUAUUCGUAAGGGACUGGGGUCCACUCCGGGCUCUUUUUAAUCGCUUAUCCAGAGCCCAAAAUGAGUUAAAUUACACCUUACGUAUUGAUGACGUCACUUCACAUUAAAGAAACUCUAAUCAUUCAAUGAAAAAACUUUUAACUAGGUCUUGACCCGACCACUCUCUACACAUGCUGAAUGAAUUCGGAAUAAUAAAAUGAAUUAAUUGACAUUUGACGGGCUUCUUUCUUGCUUUCGGGAUAUAAUUGCGCAUGUGCAGAAGUGAAGUUCUUUGUGUCAAGCUUUGGACUGUCUAUUAUAUCCUUGUAUUUCUUUUGAUAUUUAAUCUUUUGUGAGAAUACUGUUGUGACGGCACAUUGCCCUGCCUUUACCCACUACGCUGUCCCUGCGCGGAGAGCGCGCAUUUGCCUUAGAUGUAUGGUAGCAUCCAUGAUUUGAUGAUUAUACCUUAUGUGACAUGUGCAGUUAUAGAGACAACAGAUUUAUUAAAGAAAUGAGGUACACUACACAGCAGUCUGCAAUCUUACUACCCUCUACCAGGGCAACAGCAAUAUCUUACUGGAAAAAGAAACUUUUUAUAGCAGUCUUUGUACAUGGAAUGGAUUCAUUAACCAUUGGGGCUGGAUUAUUUGAGAAAGAACUCCAUACAAAUAUACAAGUUCAUUGUGUGAUAGGAGAUUCGCACCAGAAACCUUUGUUUACUACUAAUUAGCAGUUCAUAGACUGAAAGAAGUACGAAUAUCAGGGCAGUAGUGGGAAAGAACAAAAAAAUGUGUUCUCAUAAAGAAUUCUUGAGUUGAGAGCAAUUAAACCACCCACAAGUACCUAGUUUCUGCAUAUGCUGUGACACAAUUACAUUCAGGGAGAAGAAUUGUGCAUGUUGAAGUUCUGUGGUCAGCCAGCAAAAGUUCUGUCAGAAUCUUUUUACCAUUUGAAAUUGUUAACAUUUAU